rnacentral:rRNA from 1 species
AUGUCCUGGUGGAAAUUGUGUGUCCCUAAAAAUCAAGGAGGAAUGAGAUUUCGUGAUAUUCAUUGUUUUAAUUUGGUGUUACUCGCCAAACAAGCAUGGCGUCUGUUGGAUAGUCCGCAUUCCUUGUGCGCUUCUAUCCUACGGGCAAAAUAUUACCCCGAUGGUGAUCUGUUAAAUGAGAAGUUAAAGAAAGGCUCUUCCUUCACAUGGCAAAGUAUAAUGGCAGGCACAAAUACACUGAAACGUGGCUACAUUUGGCGAGUGGGGAACAGACACAACAUCAAUAUCUGGGAUGCUUGGAUCCCAAACAAUGCAACUAGGAAAAUUGUAACGCCUAAGGGAGGGAAUAUGAUAACUAAGGUAGGUGAUCUCAUUGAUCCUGCUUCUAAUACUUGGGAUGAAGACCUGAUUGAACAAACUAUGUGGCCAAUCGAUGUACAAAGGAUUCUUUCAAUUCCCCUACCGCAACAUGAUAUGCAAGAUUUCAUUGCCUGGAAUUAUACAAAAAAUGGUAUUUUCUCGAUUCGAUCA